UACGACUGGGAGCCGAUAGACAUUUCCGAGGUCGACGAGAUAUAUUUUCGGAAGAUGAAGGCUGAAUGGGAGCUUCAAAAAAUUAUGGCGGAAAACACCAGAUUGCGGCAGGAGAAUCAACGUCUUAAAACAGCAGCGAAAGGGGUAAGACUGUUUAAGUAUUGUUGUUUUAAAAUGCUACUAGUUGUUGCAGGAGAAGUGGCGCAGUCGCUCUUUAUUUAAAUCUUUUAUUAUACACGUAAUUAGGAAGCGUUCAGUGUUUUUGUUUGUUAUCUUCAAAUUUUGUUAUUUCAAGUUGUUCCGUUGUAUUUAUUGCAUUUGUUCUGUUGUUGUCUUCAUUUGUUUUGUUGAGUUUAGUUGCGUUGUACUAUUCCGUGUUGUAGAAUUUAUUGUUAUGCUGUGAGUUUUGUUUGAUAUAUUUUUGAUGUUUUAGUUUUUCUGUAAUAUUUGGAUGUUUCUCAGUAGUAUUUAGAUUUAUUUUAUUUAUACCGUUAUUGUUUUCCGUAUUCUGUUGGAUUUUCUUAUGUUACUUUGAGUUUCAGAGUUGUUAUUUUUUUACACUACUGAUUUUUCUAUUAUUUGAUUGUUUUAUUGUUUUCCGCUGUAGAUAUUAUUAAUAUUUUUUUCUUUCUUACAUUGCAUCAAAUACAUGAGAGCUAUCGAGGGGAAUCUUCUGGCCUUGGCCUGACUUGCUAGCCUACAACACUGAGAAAUGGCUAUGAGUAGGUGACACAAGGAGUGACGUGAUGGAUCAAACCGAGGAAAUUCAUAGAGAUGGGGCCAAGUCACGAUUUAGCUUUAAUAUUUUUUUUAACAAUUUUUGUUGUAAAAUAAAAUAAAAUAAAUUAAUUUACAAUAAACUAA